GACGAACGCUGGCGGCGUGCCUAAUACAUGCAAGUUGAGUGCUGAAGGUUGGUACUUGUUCCAACUGGAUGAGCAGCGAACGGGUGAGUAACGCGUGGGGAAUCUGCCUUUGAGCGGGGGACAACAUUUGGAAACGAAUGCUAAUACCGCAUAAAAACUUUAAACACAAGUUUUGAGUUUGAAAGAUGCAAUUGCAUCACUCAAAGAUGAUCCCGCGUUGUAUUAGCUAGUUGGUGAGGUAAAGGCUCACCAAGGCGAUGAUACAUAGCCGACCUGAGAGGGUGAUCGGCCACAUUGGGACUGAGACACGGCCCAAACUCCUACGGGAGGCAGCAGUAGGGAAUCUUCGGCAAUGGACGAAAGUCUGACCGAGCAACGCCGCGUGAGUGAAGAAGGUUUUCGGAUCGUAAAACUCUGUUGGUAGAGAAGAACGUUGGUGAGAGUGGAAAGCUCAUCAAGUGACGGUAACUACCCAGAAAGGGACGGCUAACUACGUG
rnacentral:rRNA from 1 species